rnacentral:rRNA from 1 species
CUACGGGAUGCUGCAGUGAGGAAUAUUGCGCAAUGGGGGAAACCCUGACGCAGCGACGCCGCGUGGAUGAUGAAGGCCUUAGGGUCGUAAAAUCCUGUCAGGUGGGAAGAAGUGGAUAUAGAUUAAUACUCUAUUUCUUUGACGGUACCACCAAAGGAAGCACCGGCUAACUCCGUGCCAGCAGCCGCGGUAAUACGGAGGGUGCAAACGUGUUCGGAAUUACUGGGCGUAAAGCGCGCGUAGGCGGUUUGUUAAGUCAGAUGUGAAAGUCCAUGGCUCAACUACGGAAGUGCAUUUGAAACUGGCAGACUUGAGUACGGGAGGGGGUGAUGGAAUUCCCGGUGUAGAGGUGAAAUUCGUAGAUAUCGGGAGGAAUACCGGUGGCGAAGGCGAUCACCUGGCCAGAUACUGACGCUGAGGUGCGAAAGCGUGGGGAGCAAACAGGAUUAGAUACCCCGUAGUC